UACGUAGGGUGCGAGCGUUGUCCGGAAUUACUGGGCGUAAAGAGCUCGUAGGCGGCUUGUCGCGUCGGAUGUGAAAGCCCGGGGCUUAACCCCGGGUCUGCAUUCGAUACGGGCAGGCUAGAGUUCGGUAGGGGAGAUCGGAAUUCCUGGUGUAGCGGUGAAAUGCGCAGAUAUCAGGAGGAACACCGGUGGUGUAGACGGCUUUCUGGACCGUAACUGACGCUGAGACACGAAAGCGUGGGUAGCAAACAG
rnacentral:rRNA from 1 species